rnacentral:rRNA from 1 species
GGUGCGUAGGCGGUUUUGCAAGUCUGAAGUGAAAGUUCAGGGCUUAACCCUGAGAGUGCUUUGGAAACUGUAGAACUUGAGUGCUGGAGAGGCAAGGGGAAUUCCACGUGUAGCGGUGAAAUGCGUAGAGAUGUGGAGGAAUACCAGUGGCGAAGGCGCCUUGCUGGACAGUUACUGACGCUGAGGCACGAAAGCGUGGGGAGCAAACAGGAUUAGAUACCCUGGUAGUCCACGCCGUAAACGAUGAGUGCUAGGUGUUGGGGGGUACCACCCUCAGUGCCGAAGUAAACACAAUAAGCACUCCGCCUGGGGAGUACGGUCGCAAGACUGAAACUCAAGGAAUUGACGGGGGCCCGCACAAGCAGUGGAGCAUGUGGUUUAAUUCGAAGCAACGCGAAGAACCUUACCAGGGCUUGACAUCCCUCUGACGGGUACAGAGAUGUGCCUUCCCUUCGGGGCAGAGGAGACAGGUGGUGCAUGGUUGUCGUCAGCUCGUGUCGUGAGAUGUUGGGUUAAGUCCCGCAACGAGCGCAACCCUUGAUCUGUGUUACCAGCAUGUAAAGAUGGGGACUCACAGGUGACUGCCGGCGCAAGUCGGAGGAAGGCGGGGAUGACGUCA